GGGGGCACCUGAUCCAGCAUGCCGCGUGAGUGAAGAAGGCCUUCGGGUUGUAAAGCUCUUUUGUCAGGGAAGAAACACCGGCUCUAACACAGUCCGGGAAUGACGGUACCUGAAGAAUAAGCACCGGCUAACUACGUGCCAGCAGCCGCGGUAAUACGUAGGGUGCGAGCGUUAAUCGGAAUUACUGGGCGUAAAGCGUGCGCAGGCGGUUAUACAAGACAGGCGUGAAAUCCCCGGGCUUAACCUGGGAAUGGCGCCUGUGACUGUAUGGCUAGAGUGUGUCAGAGGGGGGUAGAAUUCCACGUGUAGCAGUGAAAUGCGUAGAUAUGUGGAGGAAUACCAAUGGCGAAGGCAGCCCCCCGGGAUAACACUGACGCUCAUGCACGAAAGCGUGGGGAGCAAACAGGAUUAGAUACCCUGGUAGUCCACGCCCUAAACGAUGCUGACUAGUUGUUCGGGAUUUACAUCCUGAGUAACGUAGCUAACGCGUGAAGUCAGCCGCCUGGGGAGUACGGUCGCAAGAUUAAAACUCAAAGGAAUUGACGGGGACCCGCACAAGCGGUGGAUGAUGUGGAUUAAUUCGAUGCAACGCGAAAAACUUACCUACCCUUGACAUGUCACUAACGAAGUAGAGAUACCUUAGGUGCUCC
rnacentral:rRNA from 1 species